UGUUGAGCAUCUAGUUGGGAAGUUUGCUUCCGGCAUGACCAGCUUGCUCGGGAAGUUGGUUGAGGGUUGGACGGCACUUAAUGGCUCUGACAGUGAUGCGGUUGCGAGGCAGUUCACAUCAUUCCUUGGAGAACGGACACAUUGACCAACUGGUUGCCGUGGCCGGUACGACUACAACAACUCUUAGGAGCUCCCUGACACGCAAGAUGAAAUAGAUGGAGAUGCUGGUCUCGACAAGGAGGAUGAUGAUGACAUGCAGAAUGUGCAACAUGAAAUCAACGACGAUGAGCAUGUUGAAGUUCGUGUAGGUGGUAAGAAGGAUAAGUCUGCACCAAAUGUUCCUCCACCGGAGAAAGUCAUUGAACAAACAAUUACGAGAGACACGGGGGUGUCGCCCUCAAAGAGGGGCAGGGCUCCAGAGGAUGUCGGGCAGGGCUCUGCUGGCAAGAGGUCUAGGACCGACCCCAUAGCUGCUAGGAGGAGUGAGGCGACAGCUGGUGGACGAGCAGUUAAGAAGAAACAAGCACCAACGCCAACUCUUGUUUUUGCCCGGUUGAACAAGGGUGUUCCUUCUGCUGGUGACACCACUUUCACUAGGUCGUCUCCUCGUACGUCGAUGUCCAACACCGGGGAUCCUUCGUGUUGGAAGCCUUGAGGAAGACAAUCAGGAAGGUGAAGAAGACUACUACACGCGUGACCAAACACAAUCUUAGAGACCCACUCGAACGCAUUCAUUCCAAGUUGUUGACAAGAGGCAACUCAGAUGUUCAUGAGGCGCCAGUCGACAAAACUGCUGUUGUACCGUCCACUAUUCCCACUAGCUCCAAUGCAGGCGACCAACCAUCUCCACCGGUUGUAGAUGUGCAGACUACAACAGCAGUCAUCCGUACAUCUGGGAGUGAUGAGUCAGUAUCUACCAGGACUGCUGAGAUAUUGCCCACGCUGGUGGCAAUGGGGGAUGCUGUUGUGACCCAUGCCACCCGAUCAGCAAGCGUUGAAGUGGACGCUCCUGAGAUCAACCUAAACAAGGAAGAUUCCCGCUCAUCUGACACGGAUUCCAAGCGUGUGGCUGGUGGCACUUCUACGUCCACAAAAUAAGGGGCUGCGUCCACAUUUCAGAAUGAGGCGCCAUCCACAGGUGAGACUCAUGGCACAACAGCUCCAGCUGUUGGUGGUCCAGAGGCUGCUAUGGCGACCGUUGCGUGAGCUGGUCUACCACCUAGGCGGUGUAGCCCCCGGAAGCAUCCUGCACACACAUCCAAUGCACCAGAUGUAGCUAGGAGCAGCAGAGAUGACUCUGGUUAUGUGCCUGCUUCCACACUAUUCCCACCUCAUGCAAAAAGCAAUGCUAUGGAGAAAAUGGAAGUCCGGAGUACAACUGACGCAGGUGGCAAGCCAUGCAUGACUGAAGGAGGUGAACGUCCGGAGUAGACUGCGCCUUUCACCGCCAUGGAGAACCCCAGCUUAAAUCUGCGCACUUCUAAGCUCCCAAUCAACAUUGGCAUCCCCUAUCGCCAAACAAGAAGAUUGGCAAGAAAGUUGCGAUUGAGACCGCUGACAGCAUGCCCACGCCUAUCAAUAAGCCUGAUGAUUCUGCAACAGACGAGGUAGAAAUGUUUGUUGAUCUUUCACCUCUGGAUUCUGCCAAGUAACUUGUUCGCGAUCUGGCUGGUAGGCAGGAGAGGCACCCAAUGGCUUUCACCCCACCGAGCUUUAGCCUUGGCAUCGAUCGCAGUCAAGAUGGACCAGUGGUGCGAGAUGUUGUGUCUGUUGCCUUUGCUUUCCCGGUAGGCAUGGCCCCAAUGAUGGAGCAGCCAAUGGCUGAAGGUAGGAAGGCUGUGAAGUUGCAGA